GAGGAACAAGGAACACAGGUGGAGUUAAAUACACGGGAGGGUAAUCACAGAAACGAGACACACCUGGGAACAAUCAAGGGGAGGACAGGACAACGAAGAGACUUAGGGACACAGAACACUCUAAAUAAACAAGGAAAAGCACAGACCAUGACACUAAUCUCUUCAAU